UACAGAGGGGGCAAGCGUUGUUCGGAAUUACUGGGCGUAAAGGGCGCGUAGGCGGCCUGUUAAGUCGAACGUGAAAUCCCCGGGCUCAACCCGGGAACUGCGUCCGAUACUGGCAGGCUUGAAUUCGGGAGAGGGAUGCGGAAUUCCUGGUGUAGCGGUGAAAUGCGCAGAUAUCAGGAGGAACACCGGUGGCGAAGGCGGGUCUCUGGGCCGAUGACUGACGCUGAGGAGCGAAAGCGUGGGGAGCGAACAGG
rnacentral:rRNA from 1 species